UAAAAAAAUAAGGAAAGUGGGACUGCAUGGGACUGGAGGGAGAGAGGUGGGUUAGAGCAAGUUUGGUUUUUUCCCUUUCCCUUGGUCAGCAAACUACCCUCAGGCCAAAUCCAGCCUGCAACCUAUUUCUCUCCAGCCCAGCGAGCUAAGAACAUUUUUUACUGGUUAAAAAAAUAAAAAGAAUAAUAUUUCAUGACAUGUAAAAAUUAGAUGAAAUUCAAAUGUUGGUGUCUGUGAGUCAAGUCC
rnacentral:lncRNA from 10 species